rnacentral:rRNA from 1 species
AGGACGAACGCUGGCGGCGUGCUUAACACAUGCAAGUCGAGCGGUAAGGCCCUUUCGGGGGUACACGAGCGGCGAACGGGUGAGUAACACGUGAGCAAUCUGCCCUUCACUUCGGGAUAAGCCUCGGAAACGGGGUCUAAUACCGGAUAUGACCGCGCUACGCAUGUGGUGUGGUGGAAAGUUCUGGCGGUGGAGGAUGAGCUCGCGGCCUAUCAGCUUGGUUGGUAGGGGUAA